AUACGGAGGGGGCAAGCGUUAUUCGGAAUUAUUGGGCGUAAAGGGCGCGCAGGCGGCCUGGCAAGUCAAAGGUGAAAUCCCUCGGCCCAACCGAGGAACUGCCUUUGAAACUGCCUGGCUUGAGGCCGGGAGAGGGUAGUGGAAUUCCCAGUGUAGCGGUGAAAUGCGUAGAUAUUGGGAGGAACACCAGUGGCGAAGGCGACUACCUGGACCGGUUCUGACGCUGAGGCGCGAAAGCGUGGGGAGCAAACAGGAUUAGAAACCCCGGUAGUCC
rnacentral:rRNA from 1 species